rnacentral:rRNA from 1 species
CCCGGUGAUUAAAGCGGAGAGGAAACACCCGUUACCAUUCCGAACACGGUCGUGAAGGGCUCCAGCGCUGAUGGUACUUCGAGGGUAACUUCGUGGGAGAGUAGGUCGUUGCCGGGA